UUUUGGCAGUUAUUAAGCCUAACAGAAAGAACAUGACCUAGGGAUUUGGUGGUCUAAUUUCACAUUUUGGACCAGUCAUUUUUCUGGCUGUGUAUACUUGAGCUAAUUUCUUACGUUGUUCACUUUAAUUUCCUCAUAUAUAAAUUCAGUUAACUUUCCUCCCUAUGUUCCCACUAGAAUUACAGAAAACCAUACCUGCCUGGAAUUGGUACAAUUUGCUAAGCACUAUGCUGGGAAUUUCAAAUCAAAGAAUAUGUAAGAUGCCAUCCCCAUCCAAGGUAAGUCUACAAAUCCAGUUAAUAAAAUUACAAAAGUCGAGAUGAUGUCUUUGAAGCAAAGGUGAUGUGCUAAAUUGCAUUCUGUAGACCGGCCCUGCCACGACCCUUUCUGUAUGCCAAAAACAAGUUGGGAACUGCAUUGCCCAAUAUCCCUUCUACCCGCAGUUCCACAUUUGAGUGGACCAAUGAGAGGCACUCCUCCAGGUGUGAAAAGAGCAGUCAUUCUUGGGAACAAUAUGCAGGGCUGUGUGGCUGGCCAGCAUGGCUCUGAGGGCCAUGUGCCUGAGGCUGUAGCUUGAGUGAGCUGGUAAGAGCUCCCACCAGUUAUGGGGAUUCUCACAGUCCACAUCCACAGAGAGCUCAUGAGAACCAACUGCCUUGGUGCUUUCAGUCUGAGGCCCUCAGGGCAGCCUCCCUAACUUUUGAUGGGUACUCUUCUGACCUUCCCAUUCCCAGAUGUCCUAGGGCUUCUGAAACCUUAAAUCUUUUAGUCCUUCUGACUCAGCACUGAUGAUGCAUUUCUGUUCAUAGACAAGAAGACAGAGUUUAUUAAUUUUUUAAAAAUUACUAUUUGAGCUUUGGAGAGCCAGCCAAGGAAUCAUGGAUGUAUGAUAUUUGACCUAGAUUUUGAAGACAGUUUCUACAAAGAGAAAAGUGAGCAAUGGCCACUCAAGUGGGAAGACAGUCUUCGAGAAGAUGGAGAAACAUAGAAACAUAUGACCUGCUCAAAAGUACAAGAUAUUUUGCGUGACUAAAAGUGGUGUGGGAGGGGCAUCCUGGAGAAAGAAGAUGCAAAGUUUAGCUGACAGCAGACCUACAAGCACCUCAAAUUCCAGGACAACCAGAGGUCUUUUCUUAAGCAAGAAGCAGCCCUUGAAACAUGUGAUCAGAAAUGCAUUUUGGAUACUUUUGCAAGAGUUCAUAAUCACAGGCGGAAAGGACUUUCCUUAUCUCAGAUGAGACUUGGGACUUGGACUUUUCAGUUGACACUGGAAUGAGUUAAGACUUUGGGGGACUGUUGGGAAGGCAUGAUUGUUUUUGAAAUGUGAGAAGGGCAUGAGAUUUGUGAAGGGCAAGGAGUGGGAUGAUAUGAUUUGGCUCUGUGUCCCCAUCCAAAUCUCAUGUUAAAUUGUAAUCCCCAUGUGUCAGGGGAGGGACCUGAAGGGAGGAGAUUAGAUUGUGGGAGUGGAUUUCCUCCAUGCUGUUCUCAUGAUAGUGA